CUUGAGCACUUCACCAAUCUUUGCAUAUACCUUUAUUUCUUUAAAGCACUUUUCCUUUACCUUUACCUGCUAUGACUCCUCAGAGGGAUUCAUGUUUAGAUUUGAUUCGCAACGAUGCUUCUCUUUUUCUUCUCCAUCUUACUGGGAAACCAUGUUCUUUCAUUCGCUUCAAUUCAAAAGGAUGUGUUUUAAUCCCAACAUUUCUUCCAGUUUUCCUCGAUCUACUGUUUCUUCUUAAAGCAUGGUUUUUUGUUCUUCUUUUUGGACACCAUGUUUUUCACAGGUGUAUUAAUUACUGUUUUUUUUUUUAAUUUGGUUCUUGAGGAACGAGUUCAUCCACUGAAAGGGCCUCGUUUACCGAAAUCAAACAUGAAUUUGCGCAUAAAUCUCUAUUUUUUCUUUUACCCACUUCUCGUGGCAUUAAUCUUUACUCUUAAUUAAUUAGUCUCUAUGUAUUAUGUUACCUUUUCCAGUUUGUGUUUGGAAAAUUUUCCGUUAGAUUUGGGUUUUCUCUGUGAAACUUGUGGCUUUUGUUAAGUAGCUUUGGAUGAGGGUGGCAAAAUGGUAUUAUAGGUUGUAUUGAUAGUUUGUUUAAGGAGGUUUUGUUGGUAGCUAGCUAUAGAUGCAUGGAGAGUUUGCCAGUCGUUAUUUGCGGAUGUAGCAUCAUCAAGAUUCACAUGCAAACGCAGGUGGGUGGGACUGUGAUGCAAUCUGAGAGCUGUAGGCCAACCAUGCCAUAGGUCUUUUGGAAGUGAGAAUCUUGAUGAUGCUGCAUCAGCCAUAAACGACUACUUUCAAAAGUUGGAUAAGGACUAUUCUAAUAAUCUCAACAAGUGGGCCAAAAAUAUAUAUAAAAAAAAAAAGAAGGAAAAAAGAGAAAUGAGAAACAUUUGUUGGGUUAUACACACAUGACACAGCAAAACGAAAACCCCCCUUCAGACAUGAUCUGAUCUGCAAGAGGCAACCUUUUUCCCACUUUGCUUUUUGUUGCUGUCAGACAAUCCUAGGUUUUCAAGUAUAGGCUAUUUGGAGGCCGAGAGGAGCGGCUGUUGGGUCCUUUAUGUGCUGACUUCACAGAUCUAUGAUGAAUAUUCCUUUUCAACAGAAAUGCUGGGAUCUAAAUGGUGUCUUUUCAGUUUCUAAAUAUAGAUGCAGAUACCACUUUAUCCAAAUCCAGAGAGAAUGUUAGAGACGCAAUUAUUAUUUGGAAUUUAGGGUGUACUCAGAAGCUAGUGUUGAUGCUCAUAAAUGACGUUUUGAGCAUAUAGAGUGAAUGAAAACGAGAUAGGAUUUUGCUUUGGGUUUGGUAUGAACAAUGUUGAAGGCUUUGGCUUUAGUAUGAAGCAAUAAUCAGUUGUAGCUGUGGUUGGUGGACCAAGGACUUCACACAAGUUGGACUCUCUAAGGCUGUGGAUCAUACAUGCAUCAGGCCCACUCAUCUUCUUGUUCUCUCUCUUCAUUGGUAAAGCCACACUAUUUCUGUGGCCUUUUUAUUACAUUGAUAAGGGUAGUCUCUCCUAUUACGAUUGUUGUGUGUGUUUGUGUUUUUGCAUUUAGGAUAUGCUGGUAAUUAAUGUAAAGUACAUGUUUCAAGCUAUACUACUUUGGUUCCUUUUUUCUGUGAACGAGGGAGAAGGACAAACUGGUUUAAUAAACCUGACUGAGUACAUAAAAUUACUUUUUCCUCGAAUAAUAUAUGCUAUGAGAGGAUGCAUGUGAUGAAUCUGUUUUUAUUAUUUAAUCUUUGGCUAUAUUUCUAUUGAAAGUGACAGACAGAUAAUGCACUAAGUACAUGCUUAAUUUCAGGGAGCACAUGGAUCAUUUAAAUCCUUGUUUUCAGGUGAUCAUUUAAAUUGAAACAACAGUUUCUUAUAAUUUAGGGAGAAAUGGAUCACGUACAUGGGUUUUUUGCAACUCCCUAUUGCAUGUAUGUUUCAUCCUUAUACUUGUACUAUUUUUCAGCAGCCAUUUCAUUGAACCUACAAACUUCUUUUAGUAUUUUAUGAAUUCAUCUGCAUUUUAUAAUCCGUGGCUGUCUAGUUGCUGAACUUGAUAACUGAUUGAUACAGUGAGAUAUUGCUGUCAUGAAACAAGAACAACAAUAAUAAUAGAAAAAGAGAUUCAAGAAAUACCCAUUAAACAAUGUCUUUUUGAGGCAUGAUGCAUUAAUUCAUUCUGGCCAAUGUAGCAAUAUUUGAAACAAUGUACUCUUGUUGACUCAAGCUUUUCAUAGAAAGAAAAACAUUUAUCACAUUAAAGAUUUACAAUAUAAAAGCCAGUUAAUAUUCCUUAUCUUUAGAAAUGGUGCAAAGGAUAAAAUACUAAUAUAUGAUAAUGCUAUCUAACUGCUACUAAUGUGCAUCUGUAUAUCCAUACUUGCAUGAUCUGAUGGCAUUUUGAUUUUGAUUAGUAACACAUAGUAGUAUAGUAAUAACUUAAACUGUGUAUUUUGUUCACAUCUUUUGCUUUCUGUCUUAUUUCUACUGAGAUGUAUAAUAUGUAGAUUUCAAGAAACUUCUUGUCCGUGCUCAUUAUUCAAAACUCAAGAUCAAAUAAAUUGUAAGAGAGCAUAAACUCGUAUUUCUGGGAAAUUUUGAAGAGAAUAUAUGGGAAACCCUAAGUAUACCGACAAACUCUGUACUUUAUUUUUACAAAAGGAACCAAAACUCUAAUAAUUGUAAAACACAUAUGUUAAUUCAUGGUUGGGCUUAUGCUAAGCAGCAUCACUGAUGAAAGAAAUUCUGUGUGAAUUACUUAACUUGUUAAGAGAUAUUAUAUGGUUGAACUUCUUUCUAUCAAAUUCCCUGAAAUGCAAAGUUUUUGUUAACUUGAAAUUAAUCAGCGAUGUGCUUGUAAUGCUGGCAGCAUCUUUCUCAUUUGAUAUCCAAAACUAAGAAUGUUAACUAUCUGUUGUAGUAAUGUGUAAGGUUUUCACUAUUGCCAAAU